rnacentral:rRNA from 1 species
UGGGGAAUAUUGCACAAUGGGCGCAAGCCUGAUGCAGCCAUGCCGCGUGUGUGAAGAAGGCCUUCGGGUUGUAAAGCACUUUCAGCGGGGAGGAAGGCGGUGAGGUUAAUAACCUCAUCGAUUGACGUUACCCGCAGAAGAAGCACCGGCUAACUCCGUGCCAGCAGCCGCGGUAGUACGGAGGGUGCAAGCGUUAAUCGGAAUUACUGGGCGUAAAGCGCACGCAGGCGGUCUGUCAAGUCGGAUGUGAAAUCCCCGGGCUCAACCUGGGAACUGCAUUCGAAACUGGCAGGCUAGAGUCUUGUAGAGGAGGGUAGAAUUCCAGGUGUAGCGGUGAAAUGCGUAGAGAUCUGGAGGAAUACCGGUGGCGAAGGCGGCCCCCUGGACAAAGACUGACGCUCAGGUGCGAAAGCGUGGGGAGCAAACAGG